UAUAGUUCUAAAACCACCAUUUAUGUGCAUUUGUGAAGAUUUCCGAUUGGCAAUUUUUUUCUAAAUGAGUUGAUGAUCAAUGACCUUUACCACGGAUAGACAAACCUUUUUAUUUCCCUUAUGGGUGGUCAAAAAUGUAUACACAUCAAGCAUAUUUAGAGUUGGAGGUACAUGCAGGCUUCAGGCACCAAUUAACCAUCAACGCUCACGAAGGCUUUUUCCAGGAAACACGGAUGGAGUUUGAAAUGGCUUUAGUUCCUGCAGUGUGGCAAUGGAUAAUCCAUGAGAUCCUGGCAGGUAAUCCACACACCUAUUGCCGGUUAGAUGACAUCUUAUCACUGGUGAAAAUGAUGCUGCU